rnacentral:rRNA from 1 species
GACGAACGCUGGCGGCGUGCUUAACACAUGCAAGUCGAACGAAGAGCGACGGAAGCUUGCUUCUCUCAAUCUUAGUGGCGAACGGGUGAGUAACGCGUAAUCAACCUGCCCUUCAGAGGGGGACAACAGUUGGAAACGACUGCUAAUACCGCAUACGAUCUAACCUCGGCAUCGAGGAUAGAUGAAAGGUGGCCUCUACAUGUAAGCUAUCACUGAAGGAGGGGAUUGCGUCUGAUUAGCUAGUUGGAGGGGUAACGGCCCACCAAGGCGAUGAUCAGUAGCCGGUCUGAGAGGAUGAACGGCCACAUUGGGACUGAGACACGGCCCAGACUCCUACGGGAGGCAGCAGUGGGGAAUCUUCCGCAAUGGACGAAAGUCUGACGGAGCAACGCCGCGUGAGUGAUGACGGCCUUCGGGUUGUAAAGCUCUGUUAAUCGGGACGAAAGGCCUUCUUGCGAAUAGUGAGAAGGAUUGACGGUACCGGAAUAGAAAGCCACGGCUAACUACGU